UGGGGAAUCUUGCACAAUGGGGGAAACCCUGAUGCAGCGACGCCGCGUGAGCGAUGAAGCCCUUCGGGGUGUAAAGCUCUUUCGGCAGGAACGAUUAUGACGGUACCUGCAGAAGAAGCUGCGGCUAACUACGUGCCAGCAGCCGCGGUAAUACGUAGGCAGCGAGCGUUGUUCGGAGUUACUGGGCGUAAAGAGUAUGUAGGCGGUUGCGUAAGUUCGGUGUGAAAUCUCCCGGCUUAACUGGGAGGGUGCGCCGAAAACUGCGUGGCUAGUGUGCGGGAGAGGAGAGCGGAAUUCCUGGUGUAGCGGUGAAAUGCGUAGAUAUCAGGAGGAACACCGGCGGUGUAGACGGCUCUCUGGACCGUUACUGACGCUGAGAUACGAAAGCGUGGGUAGCAAACA
rnacentral:rRNA from 1 species